GGGUUGUGAGGUUAAGCGAUUAAGCGUACACGGUGGAUGCCCUGGCAGUCAGAGGCGAUGAAGGACGUGCUAAUCUGCGAUAAGCGUCGGUAAGGUGAUAUGAACCGUUAUAACCGGCGAUUUCCGAAUGGGGAAACCCAGUGUGUUUCGACACACUAUCAUUAACUGAAUCCAUAGGUUAAUGAGGCGAACCGGGGGAACUGAAACAUCUAAGUACCCCGAGGAAAAGAAAUCAACCGAGAUUCCCCCAGUAGCGGCGAGCGAACGGGGAGCAGCCCAGAGCCUGAAUCAGUGUGUGUGUUAGUGGAAGCGUCUGGAAAGGCGCGCGAUACAGGGUGACAGCCCCGUACACAAAAAUACACAUACUGUGAGCUCGAUGAGUAGGGCGGGACACGUGGUAUCCUGUCUGAAUAUGGGGGGACCAUCCUCCAAGGCUAAAUACUCCUGACUGACCGAUAGUGAACCAGUACCGUGAGGGAAAGGCGAAAAGAACCCCGGCGAGGGGAGUGAAAAAGAACCUGAAACCGUGUACGUACAAGCAGUGGGAGCACGCUUAGG
rnacentral:rRNA from 1 species